rnacentral:rRNA from 1 species
GACGAACGCUGGCGGCGUGCUUAACACAUGCAAGUCGAACGGAAAGGCCCUGCUUGCAGGGUACUCGAGUGGCGAACGGGUGAGUAACACGUGGGUGAUCUGCCCUGCACUUCGGGAUAAGCCUGGGAAACUGGGUCUAAUACCGGAUAGGAGCCAUUUUUAGUGUGAUGGUUGGAAAGUUUUUUCGGUGUAGGGUGAGCUCGCGGCCUAUCGGCUUGUUGGUGGGGUAAUGGCCUACCAAGGCGGCGACGGGUAGCCGGCCUGAGAGGGUGGACGGCCACAUUGGGACUGAGGCACGGCCCAGACUCCGACGGGAGGCAGCAGGGGGGAAUAUUGCACAAUGGGCGCAAGCCUGAUGCAGCGACGCCGCGGGGGGGAUGACGGCCUUCGGGUUGUAAACUCCUUUCGCUAGGGACGAAGCUUUUUGUGACGGUACCUAGAGAAGAAGCACCGGCUAACUACGUG